AGAUUGAACGCUGGCGGCAGGCCUAACACAUGCAAGUCGAGCGGUAGAGAGGCGCUUGCAUCUCUUGAGAGCGGCGGACGGGUGAGUAAUGCCUAGGAAUCUGCCUAGUGGCGGGGGAUAACGUUCGGAAACGGACGCUAAUACCGCAUACGUCCUACGGGAGAAAGCGGGGGACCUUCGGGCCUCGCGCCAUUAGAUGAGCCUAGGUCGGAUUAGCUAGUUGGUGAGGUAAUGGCUCACCAAGGCGACGAUCCGUAACUGGUCUGAGAGGAUGAUCAGUCACACUGGAACUGAGACACGGUCCAGACUCCGUACGGGAGCAGCAGGUGGGGAAUA
rnacentral:rRNA from 1 species